CAUCCAGCUUAUCGGCUUGAGGCAGAUCAAUAUCAGCAGUAAUAGAUUGAUGCUAGAAGAAGGGCCCCGACCUCAUUAUUGGAGGUUCUGCUUAGCUACAACCAUCAUGAGAUCCUAGAAGGCUUAAGCAGUGCCAUCGGCCUUGCACCUCGAUGCUCCUCUGGCUCUAUAAAGAGGCUCUCAAGCUCUCAUGGUCCACAUUCGACU
rnacentral:lncRNA from 1 species